UACGGGGGUGGCGAGCGUUGUCCGAAGUUACUGGGCGUAAAGCGCGCGUAGGCGGGCUCUUAAGUGAGAAGUGAAAGGCUGGGGCUCAACUCCAUGCAGUGCUUCUCAUACUGGGGGUCUUGAGGGCGGUAGAGAGAAGUGGAAUGGCUGGUGUAGCGGUGAAAUGCGUAGAUAUCAGGAGGAACACCGGUGGCGAAGGCGGGUCUCUGGGCCGAAACUGACGCUGAGGAGCGAAAGCGUGGGGAGCAAACAGG
rnacentral:rRNA from 1 species